rnacentral:misc_RNA from 1 species
GAUGAAGAACGUAGUGAAAUGCGAUAAGUAAUGUGAAUUGCAGAAUUCAGUGAAUCAUCGAAUCUUUGAACGCACAUUGCGCCCUCUGGUAUUCCGGGGGGCAUGCCUGUUCGAGCGUCAUUACAACCCUCAAGCUUUGCUUGGUAUUGGACAUUGCCAGUUUCUGGCAGGUCUUAAAAUCAGUGGCGGUGCCAUUUGGCUUCAAGCGUAGUAAUUCUUCUCGCUUUGGAGAUCCAGGUGGUUACUUGCCAAUAACCCCCAAUUUUUUCAGGUUGACCUCUGAUCAGGUAGGGAUACCCGCUGAACUUAAGCAUAUCAAUAAGCGGAGGA